rnacentral:rRNA from 1 species
CCAGACUCCUACGGGAGGCAGCAGUGAGGAAUAUUGGUCAAUGGGCGGAAGCCUGAACCAGCCAAGUCGCGUGAGGGAAGAAGGCCCUGCGGGUCGCAGACCUCUUUGGACGGGGAGCAAGGCCGCCGACGUGUCGGCGGAAGGAGAGUACCCGUAGAACAAGCAUCGGCUAACUCCGUGCCAGCAGCCGCGGUAAUACGGAGGAUGCGAGCGUUAUCCGGAUUUAUUGGGUUUAAAGGGUGCGCAGGCGGAAUGUCAAGUCAGCGGUAAAAUUUCGGGGCUCAACCCCGUCGUGCCGUUGAAACUGGCGUUCUUGAGUGAGCGAGAAGUAUGCGGAAUGCGUGGUGUAGCGGUGAAAUGCAUAGAUAUCACGCAGAACUCCGAUUGCGAAGGCAGCAUACCGGCGCUCAACUGACGCUCAUGCACGAAAGCGUGGGUAUCGAACAGGAUUAGAUACCCCAGUA